AUUAACAACAUUGGGUUGAAUCUUAUUUUGUAAUAAUUUGAUCAUAAUAUUUGGACCUUUAAUUAUUAGUGGUAAUCUAAUAUCGAAAAAAAUCAUUCAAUAAUUAUGGCUGAUAGUGAUGAUGAUUACGAUCGACGUCGUGGCCGUGAUAAAUUCCGGCGCGAAAGAAAUGAUUACAAUGAUCGAAAUAUAAAUAAUCGCCGUGAUGAUUGGGCACCGGAUAGUUGGUCACAACGUGAUCGCAAUCAAAGCGGUCGACGUGAUUAUCGAGAUAAUUAUAAUUCAGGUCGAAUGAAUUAUUCCCGUAAUGAUCGUUAUAGUCCUGCGGAUCGUAGCGGUGAUAUGAGUCCACCAAUGAAACGAAUACGUUCUACUGGUGGACGCGAUUGGGAUGAACGUUAUUCCAAUUAUGAUAGUGGAUAUCAUGGUGGUGGUGGUGCUGGUGGUGGCGGAGGUCAUCAUGUUGCUUCACAUUAUAAUCGCGAUAGUUAUGGACAACAUGAUCGUGAACGAGAUGAUGAAUUAUAUCAACCACCAAUGAUGACUGUAAAACAAUUCGUUAAUGAACAAGAUGAUCAUCUUGAUAGUGAAAUUCUUAUUUCUAAAUAUAAUGAUUAUAAAUGCGAAUUUAAACGUACACAGAUACAGGAAUUUUUUAAUCGCCAUAAAGAUGAAGAAUGGUUUCGAUGUAAAUAUUAUCCGGAUGAGAUGGAAAAACGAAAAACGAAAAUGCAACAAACGUAUCAGAAUCGAUUGAAUGUUUUCAUGGAAUUAUAUGAAAAGAAAUAUUUUGAAAAUGUUUCACUAGAUGUUGAUAAAGCUGAACAGAUAAUCAAAGUAUUGGAUGCUGCCGUUAUUAAAAUGGAAGGUGGAAACGAUUUUGAUCUGAAUGCUCUAAACAAUGAAUUUGAUGAACAGCAGCAACAACAAAAAAAUAUUGAUUCGAUUUUUGCUAUCGAUUCAUCAUCGACAACAAAAUCAUCAUUUAUAUCAACGGCAGCUCCAGCAGUUGGUUCAUCCGUUUCAUCUAGUUUUGGCGAUAAAACGGACGAUAAUGUAGUCAAUAAUAAUGAGAAUGAUGGUGAUAAUGAUAAAAUGCCUGAUGAAUCUGAUGAGAAAAUGAAUGAAGAAAAACCGGAUGAAACAAAUGUCGUUGAUGAAGAAAAACAAAUGUCCGAAGAUGGUGAAGUAUCACAAACACUGAAACCAAUGAUGGAUGAUGGUGCUGAAAGUGGUGAUGGUGAAUUGAUUGAAGAAGGCGAAGAUGCAAGCAAAGAUGAUAAUGAUGAACAACAACAACAACAACAUACUGAUUCCAAACAACAACAGCAGCAGCAACAAUCACAAGAAAAAAAUGAAUGUGAAAAUUCCAAUGAAAAGAAACCGCGAGCUUUGCAUAAGACUUGUUCGAUAUUUUUUCGCAAUAUAGCACCAUCAAUCACACGUCAAGAAAUUGAAGAUGAAUGUCGUAAAUUUCCUGGAUUUUUACGUUUGGCAAUUUCUGAACCACAAAUGGAUCGACGAUUUAAUCGCCGUGGAUGGGCAACCUAUGAACGCACGGUUAAUAUUCGUGAAAUCUGUUGGAAUCUAAACAAUGUUAAAAUUCGAGGAACUGAACUUAGUCCGAUUGUUAAUCGAGAUCUAACUAGACGCAUUCGAUCAAUCAAUGGAAUAUCAUCGGAUAAAACCGUUGUACGUGCAGAUAUCCGACAUGCGGCAAAAUUAAUUAUGAAACUUGAUCAGCAAAAAAAAUUAUGGGAAGAAACCUUAGAUGAAACAAACACCGAACCACAAAAUGGUUCGACGAAUACAUUGUCCACUCCAUCACGUAAUCCAUUGAUGAAAAAUAUUACCGAUUAUCUGAUUGAAGAAGCACCAGCUGAAGAAGCUGAAUUAUUGGGCACAUCAGUGGAAGAUCCGGCAAUCGUUUCGCCAGAAAUCGAUGAAUCCUGCGAAGCGAAUGGCAAUGCAACAGGCUCGAAUGAAGGCACACAAUUGGAAAGAGAUGAAGAUUUGAUCAAAGUUCUGGAUCGGCUUUUGUUCUAUCUACGAAUCGUACAUUCAAUUGAUUAUUACAAUCAUUGUGACUAUGCCAAUGAAGAUGAAAUGCCAAAUCGUAUCGGCCUGGUUCAUGCACGCGGUCUAAUUUCAUCGGCUCGUGUUACAUCUGUCGAAAUAACAGAAUAUAUAAAAGAUUUUGAAAAUAGGAUUCUAUCGACAUUAUUGAAACCGAUUCCAGAGAUUACGCCUGAAGAAGCAAAUAAAUUAGGCUUGAAAGUUAUUGACGAUUCAGUUGAUGCAUUCAUCAAAGAAAACACAAAAGAAUUGGGUGAAGGAAAAUGGCUAUGUCCAUUAUCGAAUAAAAAGUUUAUGGGACCAGAAUUUGUUCGUAAACAUAUACUGAAUAAACAUGGUGAACGUGUCGAACAGGUUAAAGCAGAGACAGUCUAUUUUAAUAAUUAUAUAAUGGACCCGAAACGACCACAAUUACCGGAACAUCCAUUGAAUCGUCCACAAAAUAAUCAACAACCAUUGCAACAACAGCAAACAACAAGACAUGAACCACUUCUUAGUGGACCACAUGGUUUUGGUUAUAAUCAUCGUGGUGGUAAUCAUAUGCCAAGCUUAAUGGCUGGUGGUGGUUAUCUACGAUAUCCAAAUGCUGGUCCACAUCCACCACCAUAUCUAUUGCAUGGACAGAUUAUGGAUCCAUAUAUGCGACCAAAUCUUAAAAGACGGGAACCAUCAGCAUCGCGUGACACUGUCGAUUAUGAUGACGUUGCCUUCGAGGAAUUGAUCUGAACAAAAUUCUCUUGACAUAGAUAAUCAAUAAUUGAUUAUUGCCAUUCUUCCAUGAUAUCGUGAUCUUGAUGCACCAAUCGAAGAAUAAAUUGAAAUGAAUUUAAAUCAAUUUUAUAGAUAUAUAUAGAUGUUCGAAAGAAUCGUCCACAAACAAACAAAUCAAAUAAUUCGUGAAUGAUGUAUUGUUGAAUGUGACAAAUUUAUAUAUAAACCACACGCAUCAAAAUACCCAGCCACCCAUCCAUCUAUCCAUUCAUUCAUUCACUCGCUUACUCACUCACUGAUGAAUACAUACAUUGAUUGAUUGAAAUAAAAAUCGGGCAUCAAAAGUA